GCUCUCGCGUCCCACGGCCCCCCCGCGCCCCCCCUCCGUCCCCGCUCAGCGCAUUACUGGGUAACGCAGUGAGAAGCAGUUACAGUCUGUCCUCCCGGGCAGCUAUAGGCUGCCACAGGAUGUGCUUAAGCAAACAAAACUACUUUUCCUCAUCCCCAUCCCCCAACUCCCGCCGCAGACCUUCGCGGACCUCGGGGGAGGACUUGGGCAACUUUGCCAGGUGGCCCGGUACCCCCAGGUUCGCGGCGUGGACAAGGAGAGAAGCUGGGACAAGGCCCGCGGGACGAUUUGCAUGAAAAAACAUGUUAAAGGGAUGCCCCCUCGGAAGGAGAGAUUCUGGUCCACCACCGCGUGCCCACAACUAGACACAGUCUAUCACCGCCGCCCCUGGGCCUGGGACACCUCUGGAAUGGUGCCUUUUAAGAAUCCCCUCUUUUUCCCUCCCCCAGGAUAAUUAGUCAAGGUGUCCCAGAGCCCAACUGCCUAACCUGGAACAGGUUAAAUAAUGCUACACUGCACGUCUUACAAUGAAAAAUAUUUGGCCACCAUUUUCCCUAAGGCGUGAAAACUACUCACUAUGAAUUGGAAGUCGCGAGCUGUGUUCCAGCAGCAGGUUGUGUGCCUGUGAAAGCAGCACCUGAUCCUUUGGACACGUGAAGAAAAGUAGUUAGUUUCUAUCUUUGAUCACCUGACUGCAGAAACAAGUUGUUUGGAAAAAUAUUGCAUUUUAAUAUGAAAGAAUAAUGCUUCGGUUCACUGCAGACAUUGACUAACUAAUACCAUGUUCAGUAAAAUAAUGCUGAAAAGAGUGGGUUCUAUCUUCAAUAAAUUUGGCCAUUUGGCAUAGUUUCCACUGCUGUUCACCAAGGAAAGAAAGCCAAAAUGAGAGUGAGGAGAACAAAUGACAAAGUGUGCUUCAGUUUGGCAAAGAUGCUUGACCUGGCCAGUUUGUUGCAAGCAAGGCCAGGCUGAGAGCUGAAAGUUUAAAGUUUGUAAGGUACUUUGGUAUGCUUUUGGUAUAUAUAUUUUUAAAAAGUAGUUUUUCAAGAAAGCAGGCAAAGAAUGGUAUUUCUGGUUUUAACAUUAUUCCUAUUAGCUUGCCGGUUCUCCCAAGAGCUAUAAAGUUGACAAUAAAUCAAAUACAUUUUAAUUUGUCAUGAGAUAGCAUAUAGAAACAAAAAUCUCCCAACUGGUUUUCUGCCAAAGUAUUUAUACUAGCACUAUCAACUUCCAAAGUUUAUACUCACUAUCAAAAAUUAAGAAAAAAAUUGAACCAUCAAAUAAAUUCAAGUCUGGAAAACAUUUACUGAAUGCUGCUGAGCUAGGCACUAUAUUAGGUUUGGGGAUGCAGGACAGAUAAGGGGUCCUCAAAGAGACAAGUGACUCCAGACAAGGUGGAGUCACCUUAUUUGCCAGGAGGCCCCAGCAGCAGAGCCUUCUCCAAUCAGCACACACACAGGACAUGUGACGUGGACAUCGCACCAGAUAAUGAGCACAACCUGCCUCACCGCUUUCCCUUCAGACCUGAUGCGUCCCAUCAGGAUUGUCUUUUGAAGGUCUGUAUUUGAACAUCAGAUCACGUGAAACCCUGCAUCCUGAUAUCACAGUAUAAUGGGGAAAAUUCUAAAAACAUAAUAUAUAUGAUAAUUGGUUCACAAUAUGUAAAAAAUAUAGCCAUUAGUGUUCAAUCUGGCUUCUCAAAGUCAAAAUUUGAGAACAAUUGAAUUUUAUAUUACAGAUAAUUCAGAGUCAUUGUAAUAUCAAUAUCUACAUAUCUCUAUAUACAUAUAUAUAUGUAUACCUAUAUGUAUCAGGUGCUAUUUUAAAUAUUGUACUAUUUAAAUCUUUUUUUAUAACAUAACCAGCAGAGAGUUUUUCUUGGUAGAUAAUAACAGUGCUGCAAACACCUGUUGUUCCCAAGUUAAAUGUUCUUCAUUGGAAAAGCACUGAAGAGCUUAUGAAACAUCCUUUUCUGUUUUUUUUUUUUUUUUUUGUAAAUUUGAAAGUCAGUAAUGACUCAAACCAGAGUGUGACAAGUGACUGUAUUGUUUUGACAUUAUUACUUGGUCUUUCCAGUUCUUUCAACUUGCUCAAUUUAUUUUCUUUAACUUUUCAAAAACUGUGUUGUGUAAUGUUACAUUCUAUUUAUCUUAAUGAGUAUUCUAGGUACAAUAGUAAUAGACU